rnacentral:rRNA from 1 species
AGUGAACGUUGGCGGCGUGGAUUAGGCAUGCAAGUCGAGCGAUCGUAGCAAUACGGGAGCGGCAAACGGGGUAGGAAUACAUCGGAACGUACCCUCUGGUCGAGGAUAGCGUCGGGAAACUGACGGUAAUACUCGAUAAAGUCGAGAGACCAAAGGUUUACUGCCGGAGGAGCGGCCGAUGCGAUAUUAGGUAGUUGGUGGGGUAACGGCCUACCAAGCCUGAGAUGUCUAGGGGGUGUGAGAGCAUGGCCCCCACCACUGGGACUGAGAAACUGCCCAGACACCUACGGGUGGCUGCAGUCGAGGAUCUUCGUCAAUGGGCGAAAGCCUGAACGAGCGACGCCGCGUGCGGGAUGAAGGCCCUUGGGUUGUAAACCGCUGUCGAGGGGGAUGAAACCGCAAGGUUGACAGAGCCCCAGAGGAAGCACGGGCUAAGUUCGUG